rnacentral:rRNA from 1 species
CCUACGGGUGGCAGCAGUGGGGAAUAUUGCACAAUGGGGGAAACCCUGAUGCAGCGACGCCGCGUGAGUGAAGAAGUAAUUCGUUACGUAAAGCUCUAUCAGCAGGGAAGAAAAUGACGGUACCUGAGUAAGAAGCCCUGGCUAACUACGUGCCAGCAGCCGCGGUAAUACGUAGGGGGCAAGCGUUAUCCGGAUUUACUGGGUGUAAAGGGGGCGUAGACGGUGGGCCAAGUCAGGAGUGAAAUGCUGCAGCUUAACUGCGGAACUGCUUUGGAAACUGGCGAACUUGAGUGCGGGAGGGGUAAGCGGAAUGCGUGGUGUAGCGGUGAAAUGCGUAGAUAUUAGGAAGAACACCGGUGGCGAAGGCGGCUUACUGGACCGUAACUGACGUUGAGGCUCGAAAGCGUGGGGAGCAAACAGGAUUAGAUACCCGGGUAGUC